UUGCUUGCCCAUCCUUUCCAUGAGACAUUUAUGACUUAAGCUUUAUGAGUCUUUGUGGGAUGAUUCUCCCCUCUUCCUAUUGUAAUAGACUUAAUAAAAUGUUUCCACGUUCAUGUCCAGAUUGGAUGAUUUACUACAGUGGUAAUGAUGCCACGACUUGAACAAAAUUCUGGCUGCCCCUCAACUGUUGUUUUUCUACAACUUGCUGUGACUUGGGCAUUGUGCUGACUUCCAUCCUGCUCUCUUCACCCAAGCGAUGAUGCUAUCUCAUUGAACUCUUUGGCACCUCACUUGGAAAGCAAAAUCAAAUACGGCCUUCAAACAAGGUGGAUAGUGAAGAAAGAGCCUCAAACCCAAGCCAGCACAAUCAGUGAACGUCUGAGUGUAGUGAGUAAAAUUUUCAUUCAUUUGGCUGCAGAGGCCAGCCUGAUCUACAGAGUGAGUUCCAGGACAGCCAGGACAACACAGAGAAACCCUGUCUUGAAAAAAAAAAAGUAACAUCAUGAAAUCUUCCUGCCAUUAUUGAAGUGAAUAUUCUAAGACCUCACUUUGUGAAAACAGACAGCUCAUCAUUACUUCAGCCCAGUCAUCCACUAAUACAUCAUGCAUGUGAGAACAGCCAGUUUGAGGACUAUGAGCUUCUCUGAGGAAGAUAAAGGAUGAAGUGAAAGGAAGAAGUGUUGAUUUGUUUCCAGGAUAAUUUUACUGUAUGGUUUCUUAAAUAAGAGCAUAAUUGUGAUUUGGCUGAAAUUGUUAAUACUACUCCUCCAAAAGUCUACAAAUUGCAACCAUUUCUUGUGUGAAUAUUCAUUUGAGAAAAUUAUUUCCUUAUUUAUGUACAUUUUUAUUUAUUCAAUUUACAACUGCAUGAUCAUUUCAUAAUACGUGUUCUGAAUCAAAAGUAGAUAAAUAAAAUUUAGUGUCUCCCUUCAAGGACAUCAUAGUGUACAAAAAAAGAGAAAGCAUUUAUGUGAAAAAUGGAAGAAUUGAAUCUGAAGUGCUGACUAAGGAUUUGAAUUGAGCUGAAAUCUGUGCUCUGAAUCCACCAACUAAGAGGGAAAAGUACUGAUGAGAGCAAAUUGCCUGCUUGAAUAAGUGAGACCCCCAAGAAGAAUAUUUUUCCACCUAUAGGCUGAGGAAUGCCCUUUUCAGCCUCCAAAUAAAUAAAUUAGACUUAGCAAUGCACUGAACACUUUCAUCCUCGAGGAAAAGCUCCAAAUUUCUAGCAUUAGGUACUUUGACACCAUCAUGACAAUAAGUCUUGUGUGUUAAAGAUGUAGGUCACAAGAAGUCAUUACGUGUACCAUACAAUGAUGAUCUCACCAAAAACAAAAACAAAACAAAAAACAAAAGCAAAAAAUAAAACAAACCCUGCACUUUAGGAUAUUUGGCUACAUAGUGAGAUGCCUGAAUACUCUGAAGUUAAUAAAGUUUGGCUAAGUUUUUCUAACUUAGAGGGUUGAAAUAUGCAAUAGCUAGGAGGGAACAGGCUUCUAAGUCAUGCAAUAGCCAGUAGCUGCAGUUGAUCUGGAUGAAUUUGAGUAUAGGGAGCAGGACAAAGCAGAACAUUGGAAGGUGGCAAACACAUGAGGAAAGAGCAUAGACAUGAUUGGUAGAGACACUUUAGAAGGUGUCUGGCGUCUUUUCAUAGCACACCCAACAGCUGGGAGCCUAACUCUUCCUGGAAAUGAAGGCAAAUCCUGCCCCUUUCUGAAGGCAACAUGUCUGCACAGGCUUCUGGUGUAGACACUUCCCUGAUACUCUUAUUUUUUUUAGGCAUGUAAAUAGCAUCAUAAUUGUGGAAUAGUCCUAAACCCCAUUCUCACUCCGUCUUGCCCAAUGAAAAAACAGCCCAGUUCACUGACUAGCAGGAGGCUAAGUGGUGGGAUUAUUCUUAUAAACCAGCAUCCUUCCUAACUCUGCUCUCACUUUAAGUCUGAAGAGGAAGGCUAGGGAGAAUUGUUAGUGCUUGGGAGAGACACAGAGACAUGGAGAGCCCAGCCUGAAAAACCAAUUAAGAAAAGGAAGACAGUUCGAGUGAGAUUCUGCUUUUCCCCAGCAAAUAGUCAGUGUAGAGCACCCCUGUUAUUGAUAGACUGCUAUGGGGCUACUGUGCCUCCAUGAGCUCAUGUGAUCCAGAACCAGCAUCCUGCAAGUGUACAAGUUAAUAAUGAUGCCAAGUAAUGCUGCGUACAAGCUAUUUGACAUCUUCACACUGGAACUAAUAAUCUCUUUUCUUAAAGCAUCUCCAUUAUCAUCCUCUUUUGGAACAUACUACCCAAAUCUAGGAUGGUAGCACAGGCUGUUGCUUUUCAAAUAAUUCUCUGGUUUUAGAUUCUGAAUAUUCUCAUCUUUAAAACAUUCUUAACAGGGCUGGAGUCAAGAUCCAACACAAGCUUGUCAAUAAUCUAUGUGUGCUGCUUGAGUCUUAAUCCCUAGCAAAUACAUAGCUCUGCAGUCAAUAUUUGUGGAAGCAAAACAAAAGUAGUAUGUGAUAUUCAAAGGGUAUAUUUUGAGCUUCAUUAUGCAGUUUUGUUUAUAAGCAAUAAAAUUUGGCUCAUAGAAA